CAAAUUAUUCGAGAUAAUUGAGGUCUCAAAAGGAAUAGUUUAGACAAUGUAUCAUGCUUAGUUAUCAUGUUACGGUGUAACAUAUGUCACAUGUCAUAGAAUCCA